rnacentral:misc_RNA from 1 species
AUGUCCAGAUUCUCUUGAUGAUGCUGAUGCUUUGGGAAGUAUGUUAAUUUCAUGGUACAUGAGUGGCUAUCAUACUGGCUAUUAUAUGGGUUUUAGACAAAAUCAAAAAGAAGGAAGGUGCUCACAUUCCUUAAAUUAAGGAGAAAUGCUGGCAUAGAGCAGCACUAAAUGACACCACUAAAGAAACGAUCAGACAGAUCUGGAAUGUGAAGCGUUAUAGAAGAUAACUGGCCUCAUUUCUUCAAAAUAUCAAGUGUUGGGAAAGAAAAAAGGAAGUGGAAUGGAGUCUCGCUCUGCUGCCCACGCUGGAGUGCAGUGGUGCAAUCUCAGCUCACUGCAACCUCUGCUAUCCGGGUUCAAGCGGUUCUCGUGCCUCACCCACGUGAGUAGUUGGGAUUACAGGCAUGUGGCACCAUGCCCCACUAAGUUUUGUAUUUUUAGUAGAGAUGGAGUUUCACCAUGUUGGCCAGGCUGGUCUCAAACUCCUGCCCUCAAGUGAUUCGACCACCCUGGCCUCCCAAAGUGCUGGGAUUACAGCCGUGAGCCACCGCACACGGCCUCUCUAUUUAUUUCUAUACAUAGCUUUUCACAUUAUAUUAUGUUUAUAUAUUGUUUAUAUCUGUAUUUCCUCUUUCAUUAGAGAAAAGGUAGUACAUCUUAUUCUUCAUGGUGUCUACAAUAUCUGGCAGUUUUUGGAAGUCAAGCGUGAGCUUAGAGCAUAGACUGGUGGGAUUGUCAAAGAAGAGGGCAACUGGAAGAGAACUGUCAGUUAUUUUUGGAUCAGUCUUUAAUUCAUCAUGACGGGUUAGGCAUUAGUUGUAUUUCUUGCUAAUUUUGAAGAAGACUUAUUAACAAAUCCUACAUUAGGUAAAUGGUUUUGAAAGUUGAGUUAAUCAUAAUGGUGUUUGACCUAGGACUAUUUUUAGGCCCUAUUUAUCUUAAUAUCGAAUAAUGAAGCAGCUUCCCCCUUAGAUAUAGACAGAAAACAUCAAAGCCACCACACUACCUGGCUGGAUUUAUCCUAGUAAUA